AGACACUAUAUACUGAGUCAGAUGUUCUACUUGAAAUGAUUCCAAGUGGUUCCUGUAAGGAACAUUCUCUACCAGGAACUUAAGCCUCCUAAACCACCGCACAGAGACACGAGUACUGACAGUGCUGCAGAGAAAUAACCAAACUGAAAACAACUCAGCUGCUGGACAACAGAACGCACAAACAGUGAGUGUGUAAACAACGGGGUCCUGGAACCGCUGCUGAAAGAUGUAAAUCUGUGCCACGCAGAGACCUAAGAGCUUCAGUAGGUGGCGAACAAGCAAGUUCCAACACAGUAAUGCUGCUUGUGAGAGUAUACCUACAGCACGGGAAAGGAAGAGGUCAAGUUGCUUUUCAGCCACCACCUGAAUGUCAACAUGCUAUGUACUGAUGUUCCUGAUUCAAGAAUUCAAAAAAACCAUGAGCGUCUACAUUUCAAAAGCUUCAACAUGCACAGAACACUAUGGCUUUGCAGAAGUCCUUGAAGACUUUAAAACUGCUUCCCAACAUCUCUCCCAUGAACAGGAACAAGCAUGUUCCUUUACAGCAGACUCCGCUGUGAGCGGGCUCUGAGACAGUGUUCUGUCUCUCCCGUUCUCCCUCCCCCAUUCCACUCUCAAUGCUGUAAAAGGAUAAUGCAAACAAAUUCUUUACUGAUAUCCAACUGUUCUCAAAAGUAUUAACAACAGAAAACAUCUCCUCACCUCCAGAUUAAGAUAAAGCUCUCCCAGAAAGAGCACAAACGCAUGGAAUCGUUUUCGAGUUGCUUCAUCCCCCUUUGCAGCUUGGUCUUUAAGUUCAUAUUCAGUCCGACAUCUAAUAAAGAUAAAGCUUUUAUAAUCUCAAAACAUUGCUUUGUUUUGUAAAUAGUCAAACAAGAUGACCGACCAUUCGCCAGUUUGGUUGUCCACAAGCAAUACAAAGACAAGUAAAUGCACAAACGUCCAGACCUCCUACAACAAGAAGUGUGCCCAUCUAU